rnacentral:rRNA from 1 species
AGUGAACGCUGGCGGUAGGCCUAACACAUGCAAGUCGAACGGCAGCACAGGAGAGCUUGCUCUCUGGGUGGCGAGUGGCGGACGGGUGAGGAAUACAUCGGAAUCUACUUUUUCGUGGGGGAUAACGUAGGGAAACUUACGCUAAUACCGCAUACGACCUACGGGUGAAAGCAGGGGAUCUUCGGACCUUGCGCGAUUGAAUGAGCCGAUGUCGGAUUAGCUAGUUGGCGGGGUAAAGGCCCACCAAGGCGACGAUCCGUAGCUGGUCUGAGAGGAUGAUCAGCCACACUGGAACUGGGACACGGUCCAGACUCCUACGGGAGGCAGCAGUGGGGAAUAUUGGACAAUGGGCGCAAGCCUGAUCCAGCCAUACCGCGUGGGUGAAGAAGGCCUUCGGGUUGUAAAGCCCUUUUGUUGGGAAAGAAAUCCAGCUGGCUAAUACCCGGUUGGGAUGACGGUACCCAAAGAAUAAACACCGGCUAACUUCGUGCCAGCCGCCGCCGUAA